AAUACAUGACUCCACUACAAUCUGCCACCAUUCCUAGGUCAUCAAGGCACGUGAUCUCCGCCGGCAUUCGGCACGCCCUAUCAUUAAUGCAUGAGACCCCCUCAGGCCUCCGAUGCACUCGACCAUUAAAUGAACACGGCUCAAGAUGAUCUCCGGAUCACUGAACCAUCAAAGCAUAUGGCUCUUCCUGACCACCGGUUCACUCAGCAAUUAAUGCACUUGCUAUCUACGAACCCCAGGCCCACCACGGCCGGCGGUUCAACCACCCCAACGGGUCCGAUCAACCGUGACAACUCCCUGACUCCGGCCUGAUCCGGCCUUAUUCUCCACAACGCCAUUAA
rnacentral:lncRNA from 1 species